rnacentral:rRNA from 1 species
AUUGAACGCUGGCGGCAUGCCUUACACAUGCAAGUCGAACGGCAGCACGGGAGCAAUCCUGGUGGCGAGUGGCGAACGGGUGAGUAAUAUAUCGGAACGUGCCCAGUCGUGGGGGGAUAACGUAGCGAAAGCUACGCUAAUACCGCAUACGAUCUAUGGAUGAAAGCGGGGGAUCGCAAGACCUCGCGCGAUUGGAGCGGCCGAUAUCAGAUUAGGUAGUUGGUGAGGUAAAGGCUCACCAAGCCGACGAUCUGUAGCUGGUCUGAGAGGACGACCAGCCACACUGGGACUGAGACACGGCCCAGACUCCUACGGGAGGCAGCAGUGGGGAAUUUUGGACAAUGGGCGCAAGCCUGAUCCAGCAAUGCCGCGUGCAGGAUGAAGGCCUUCGGGUUGUAAACUGCUUUUGUACGGAACGAAACGGUGAGCUCUAAUACAGUUUGCUAAUGACGGUACCGUAAGAAUAAGCACCGGCUAACUACGUG